AAGGAUUUAUCGAAGCUUGUGUAGUGUCAACAAAUCACUACAGAAGUCAAAUCAAUCCAAAAUUAAAUUUAAAUGAUUUUCGGGUGGCAUGUUUAUUCUUUUAAAUAAUAAUCAAUGUCUAAUCGAAUAUCAAACAAAC
rnacentral:snoRNA from 15 species